rnacentral:rRNA from 1 species
CCCUAUGGGGUGCAGCCGGAACGCAUACGGCACAUCUUCGCGAACGGCGAAGGGGUAUUUUUGACCGAGCAUAUCCGCAGUAAUGGGAGCGCCGUAUCGGUGAGGAUACGGGCGCAUAUCGUCGAUGUCGGCGGGGAAUCGAUGCUGCUGGGGAUCGUUCAGGAUAUCAGUGACUGGCAGGAGGCACAGGACAAGCUCACUGCCAGUGAACAACUGUACCGCACCCUGGUCAAUACCAUGCACGAGGGGCUGGUGAAGAUCGAUAACAGCGGUGUUGUCGGAUAUGCCAAUGCCCGGAUGCAGAUGAUGCUUGGCUACAGCGAGGGCGAGCUUGUCGGGCAAUCGCCGCAGCAGUUCGUCGAUGAGGGCGGGAGGGC